AGAGUUUGUUUCCAUGGCUCAGGAUGAACGCUAGCGGCAGGCUUAACACAUGCAAGUCGAGGGGUAGGUAUCUUCGGAUACCGAGACCGGCGCACGGGUGCGUAACGCGUAUGCAAUCUACCUUGUACAGGGGGAUAGCCCAGAGAAAUUUGGAUUAAUACCCCAUAGUAUAAUUAAAUGGCAUCAUUUGAUUAUUAAAGUUCCAACGGUACAAGAUGAGCAUGCGUCCCAUUAGCUAGUUGGUGUGGUAACGGCAUACCAAGGCAACGAUGGGUAGGGGUCCUGAGAGGGAGAUCCCCCACACUGGUACUGAGACACGGACCAGACUCCUACGGGAGGCAGCAGUGAGGAAUAUUGGUCAAUGGGCGCAAGCCUGAACCAGCCAUGCCGCGUGCAGGAUGACGGUCCUAUGGAUUGUAAACUGCUUUUGUACAGGAAGAAACACUCGGACGUGUCCGAGCUGACGGUACGUAAGAAUAGGAU
rnacentral:rRNA from 1 species